rnacentral:rRNA from 1 species
CCUACGGGAGGCAGCAGUCGGGAAUAUUGCGCAAUGGAGGAAACUCUGACGCAGUGACGCCGCGUAUAGGAAGAAGGUUUUCGGAUUGUAAACCUCUGUCAGCAGGGAAGAACGGUCACUGUGCUAAUCAGCAGUGAAUUGACGGUACCUGCAAAGGAAGCACCGGCUAACUCCGUGCCAGCAGCCGCGGUAAUACGGAGGGUGCGAGCGUUAAUCGGAAUUACUGGGCGUAAAGCGCUCGUAGGCGGUAUGUCAAGUCAAGGGUGAAAUCCCCGCGCUCAACGUGGGAACUGCCUUUGAAACUGGCAAACUGGAGUGUGUGAGAGGAUAAUGGAAUUCCAGGUGUAGGAGUGAAAUCCGUAGAUAUCUGGAGGAACAUCAGUGGCGAAGGCGACUAUCUGGCACAUAACUGACGCUGAGGAGCGAAAGCGUGGGUAGCAAACAGGAUUAGAUACCCCUGUAGUC